CGGCUGUUGCUCUCUAUCCACGACUGGGAGCCCGCCGUCACCACCUAGGGCUGGUGGGCCACCACGCGGCCAGCAGCUAGGGCAGCAGGCGCCACAUCAGGUCACCGCGCUCCGGGCGCCGUGUGGUCGCAGCGCUCUGGGUGCCGCCACCGCUCUUGGCUGCGCCGCUCCGAGCAGCCGCGCGUCGUUCCUGGUCUUGCGAUUUGCGCCUCCGCCUGCUGUGGAUUCUGAUGGAUUGGGUUGGUUUGGCGCAGGGACGCGACGGGGGAGACGGACGAGGAGAGGCAUCGGCUGCGGAAGGAGCUGGAGGCCCUGAAGCCAGCAGCCUUAGGGUCCCCAGGCGUCGACCGUGGCAUAAUUAGAUGACCGUAGAGGAGCGAGAUGCAGAACGAGAGGCGGGCGUUCCUCGUGUGGCUGUAGGAAUCUUGCAAGAUUGGAAGAGAAUGACAAGCUUGUCCUGACACCCUUUGAGAAGAAUAUUGACAUCUGGAGACAGCUCUUGAGAGUGCUUGAACGCAGUGAUUUGAAUUUGGAGAUUGAGAAGAUCAAGCCAUGAGUGCAAAGAGAAGGAAGAAGGCCCAAAGAAAGAUAGGUUUUAGAAGUUACAUUAAAAAUUUAGAAAUAUUGUAUGGUAUUUCUACUUUGUUUAUUUUUUUAUUUUUACGAAUGCACUUGUGUGGACCUGAUAAUAUUUGUAUGGACCUCAUUGUUGUUGAAUUACGAAGUUUUCUAUUUUAAGA